rnacentral:rRNA from 1 species
AACGAACGCUGGCGGCAUGCCUAACACAUGCAAGUCGAACGAGACCUUCGGGUCUAGUUGCGCUCGCGUGUGUAGCGCGUGGGACCCUUCCCUUAGGUUCGGAAUACCUCCCCGUAGGGGGUGCUAAUACCGGAUAAUGUAUUCUAACCCAGGAUUUAUCGCCCUUGGAUGGGCCCGCGUUGUAUUAACUUGUUGCUAGGGUAAAAGCCUACGAAGGCGACGCUCCAUAGCUGGUCUGAGAGGCUGAUCAGCCACACUGGGACUGAGACACGGCCCAGUCUUCUACGGGAGGCAGCAGUGGGGAAUAUUGGACCCGGGGCGAAGGCCAGAGCCAGCGAUGCGGAGUGAGUGAUGAAGGCCAAAGGGUUGUAGAGCUCUUUUACCCGGGAUGAUAGUGACUGUACAGAGAGAAUAAGCUGCGGCUAACUCCG